CAAACCCAUUCUCCAGCGAGCAAAAGCCCUAUACUCACAUAAAAUCCCGCGCAGCCUCCUUUUCAUUCGUUUAUUUUCAGAGCUGGAAGAAAAGUAGCCCCUUUUCAGUCCUUACUUUCAGAUCUGGAAGAGAAGUAGCGCCAGUUUCUCUCUCUCUCUCUCAAGAAUGGCUACCGUUAAUAGUUACUCUGAGACUCAGGGUUAACAAGGCAACACACCAGUGCCCACACCUACCGUGGCGACCUCAAAGCAGCCUGCCCCUGUCGCUAAGAGCGUCGACACCCAAUCCGUUCUGAAAAUAUGAGUGGGGAUGCUGGCGUAUCUGCUUUUCCUGAGGAAGACAACAUAUUCUGCUGGAAGGGUACAAUCUGUGGAAGCAAAGAAUACUGUUUUUGAAGGAACAGAUGACAAGCUCUCACUAUCUUUUCCAACUGAUUACCCAUUCAAACCUCCCAAGGUCAAAUUUGAAACAAGCUGCUUCCACCCUAAUGUAGAUGUCUUUGGUAACAUUUGCUUGGACAUCCUGCAGGAUAAAUGGUCAUCAGCUUAUGAUGUGAGAACCAUUUUAAUCUCUAUCCAGAGUUUACUUGGAGAAUUACUUUUCCAGAUGGCAUUGUCAAGGAAGGCAAGAAGUGGAUGUCAACUCUCACAGAGAUUGCCGAGGAGAUAUCUAAGAGUUUGGCAGCAAACGCUUUGAUUUCUCAGACCACUUCAAAGUCCAAACAAGAUUUACAACCAGGUGCAUCAUUUUCACUCAGUAUCAUCAACAAAACCCUGUACUAUCGACCUUGUUCCUCAGUAAUUGUUAGCUCAUUAAUAGAAUAUAUUUCUGGUCUACUGGAUGAAGAAGCUGUGGUAGAUGGACAAUACUUCUUUGCAAUAAAAGCUGGUUCUUUGGGAGUUGGAA